AUGUAUUGGGGGGGGCUCAGGGAGAGAGUGGCAGAGUCAGGAGUCAGACCUGAGCCAACUCUCCCUGUUAAUCAUGAGGAGCAGCGAUAUAAGGACUUCUGGUCUUGGGAGAUGAUAUUAGACGGAAGAGGACCCUGGGCUCAGCCUGGUGAAUAUCGCCGCCCCAAGGAGGAAGCAGAGGCAGCAGGAGAUAGGAGCCGGCGAUACGAGGGAACACGGUUGGCAAGGAAGCCCGAGAAGCAACCCCAAAAAAUUAUUGGGGGGGGGCUUACAGGGAGUAUGGCUAUGCCAGGUAGGAGACCUGCGCAAACUCCCUGUGCUUUCCGGUGGGCUAGAGAGACCGGGCAGACACCGUGUUAUGCUAUGGAGCGCACGGUGUCUCCAGUGCGGGUGCAUAGCCCGGUACGGUUCAUACCAGCCCUUCGUAUUUGCCGGGCUAGAGUGGGCAUCGAGCCAGGUAAGCUUGGGCAGGCUCGGUGCUCAAGAGCUCCAGUGCGCCUUCACGGUCCGGUCUAUCCAGAGCCACCUCCACACACCAGUCCUCCGGUAGCAGCUCCCCGCACUAGGCUUCCUGUGCGUGUCCUCGCUCCAGUAUCACCAGUGCCCGCACCACGCAUCAGGCCUACAGUGCGCCUCACCAAUCCUGCUCUGUCGGAGUCUCCCGCCUGUUCAGCACAGCCAGAGCCUUCCUUCUCUACAGCGCUGCCGGAGCCUCCUGCCUGUUUGAAGCAGCCUGAGCUGCCAGUCUGCAAGGAGCUGCCAGUCUGCAGGGAGCUGUCAGUCUGCAAGGAGCUGCCAGUCUGCAGGGAGCUGUCAGUCUGCAAGGAGCUGCCAGUCUGCAGGGAGCUGUCAGUCUGCAAGGAGCUGCCAGUCUGCAGGGUGCUGUCAGCCUGCAUGGAGCAGUCAGAGCGGUCAGUCUGCAUGAAGCAGCCAGAGAUGUCAGUCUGCAAGGAGCUGCCAGUCUGCAAGGAGCUGCCAGUCUGCAAGGAGCUGUCAGCCUGCAUGGAGCAGUCAGAGCUGUCAGUCUGCAAGGAGCUGUCAGUCUGCAGGGAGCUGUCAGUCUGCAGGGAGCUGUCAGUCUGCAAGGAGCUGUCAGCCUGCAUGGAGCAGUCAGAGCUGCCAGUCUGCAGGGAGCUGCCAGUCUGCAGGGAGCUGCCAGUCUGCAAAGAGCUGCCAGUCUGCAAGGAGCUGUCAGUCUGCAAGGAGCUGUCAGCCUGCAUGGAGCAGUCAGAGCUGCCAGUCUGCAAGGAGCUGCCAGUCUGCAGGGAGCUGUCAGUCUGCAAGGAGCUGUCAGUCUGCAAGGAGCUGCCAGUCUGCAGGGUGCUGUCAGCCUGCAUGGAGCAGUCAGAGCUGUCAGUCUGCAUGAAGCAGCCAGAGCUGCCAGUCUGCAAGGAGCUGUCAGCCUGCAUGGAGCAGUCAGAGCUGUCAGUCUGCAUGAAGCAGCCAGAGCUGCCAGUCUGCAAGGAGCUGUCAGCCUACAUGGAGCAGUCAGAGCUGUCAGUCUGCAUAGAGCAGCUAGAUCCGCCAGUCAGCCAUGAUCUUCUAGAUCUGCCAGUCAACCAGAUUCUUCCAGAUCAGCCUGUCAACCAGAUUCUUCCAGAUCAGCCUGUCAACCAGAAUCUUCCAGAUCUGCUAGUCAACCAGAAUCUUCCAGAUCUGCUAGUCAACCUGAAUCUUCCAGAUCCGCCAGCCAGCCAGGAUCUACCGGAGCCUACUACCUACCUGAGCUUCAUCUCAGUACUGGGCUUCCUCUCAGUACUGGGCUUCCCCUCAGUUCCGGGCUGCCCCUCAGUUCCGGGCUGCCCCUCAGUCCCGAGCUGCCCCUCAGUCCCGAGCUGUCCCUCAGUCCCGAGAUGCCCCUCAGUCACGAGCUGCUCCUCAGUUCUGUGGGGUUCUGGGUGA
rnacentral:lncRNA from 1 species